rnacentral:rRNA from 1 species
CCUACGGGAGGCAGCAGUGGGGAAUAUUGGGCAAUGGAGGAAACUCUGACCCAGCAACGCCGCGUGAAUGAUGAAGGUCUUCGGAUCGUAAAGUUCUUUUCUAAGGGAAGAAGAAAGUGACGGUACCUUAGGAAUAAGCCUCGGCUAACUACGUGCCAGCAGCCGCGGUAAUACGUAGGAGGCAAGCGUUAUCCGGAAUGACUGGGCGUAAGGGGUGCGUAGGUGGUUUGACAAGUUGGUAGCGUAACUCCGGGGCUCAACCUCGGCACUACUACCAAAACUGUUGGACUUGAGUGCAGGAGGGGCAAAUGGAAUUCCUAGUGUAGCGGUGGAAUGCGUAGAUAUUAGGAGGAACACCAGUGGCGAAGGCGAUUUGCUGGACUGUAACUGACACUGAGGCACGAAAGCGUGGGGAGCAAACAGGAUUAGAUACCCUAGUAGUC